rnacentral:rRNA from 1 species
ACAUGUCUUUAAGAUUAUAAUUUAAAGUCUAAUYUGCUCCAUGAAUUUAAUUAAAUAGCUGCAGUAUUUUAACUGUACAAAGGUAGCAUAAUCAAUAGUUUUUUAAUUAAAAGCUGGAAUGAAUGAUUUGAUAAGGUAAAUAUUGUCUCAAAUUUAAAAGUGUUAGAAUUUUUUUUUUAGUAAAAAUACUAAAUUGAGUUUGAAAGACGAGAAGACCCUAUAGAUUUUUAUAUUUUAUAUUUAAUUAAUUUAAAUUAAUUUAUAUUAUUAGGUAAAAAAAUAUUUGGUUGGGGAAAUUAUUAAAUUAAUUAAAUUUUAAUUUAUAAUAAACAAUAAUUAUUGACUAAUUUGAUCCUUAAAGUUAAGAAUAUAAGAAUAAAUUACCUUAGGGAUAACAGCGUAAUUUUUUUAGAGAGAUCAUAUUAAUAAAAAAGUUUGCGACCUCGAUGUUGAAUUAAGAUUUAAUUUUAAUGGAGAAAUUAAAAAUUUUUGGUCUGUUCGACCAUUAAAAUCUUACGUGAUCU